UGGGGGAUAUUGCACAAUGGAGGAAACUCUGAUGCAGCAACGCCGCGUGAAGGAAGAAGGUCUUCGGAUUGUAAACUUCUGUUCUUAGUGACGAAACAAAUGACGGUAGCUAAGGAGAAAGCCACGGCUAACUACGUGCCAGCAGCCGCGGUAAUACGUAGGUGGCGAGCGUUGUCCGGAAUUACUGGGUGUAAAGGGUGCGCAGGCGGGACUGCAAGUUGGAUGUGAAAUACCGAGGCUUAACCUCGGAGCUGCAUCCAAAACUGUGGUUCUUGAGUGAAGUAGAGGUAGGCGGAAUUCCGAGUGUAGCGGUGAAAUGCGUAGAUAUUCGGAGGAACACCAGUGGCGAAGGCGGCCUACUGGGCUUUAACUGACGCUGAGGCACGAAAGUAUGGGGAGCAAACAGGAUUAGAUACCCUGGUAGU
rnacentral:rRNA from 1 species